rnacentral:piRNA from 1 species
UGACUCAGAAACGUGGGGCUGGAUGCA